rnacentral:misc_RNA from 1 species
GAUGAAGAACGCAGCGAAAUGCGAUAAGUAGUGUGAAUUGCAGAAUUCAGUGAAUCAUCGAAUCUUUGAACGCACAUUGCGCCCCCCAGUAUUCUGGCGGGCAUGCCUGUUCGAGCGUCAUUUCAACCAUCAAGCCCUGCUUGUGUUGGGGUCCUGCGGCUGCCCGCAGGCCCUGAAAACCAGUGGCGGGCUCGCUAGUCACACCGAGCGCAGUAGCACAUCUCGCUCAGGGCGUGCGGCGGGCUCCAGCCGUUAAAGCACCCACCUUUCGCAAGGUUGACCUCGGAUCAGGUAGGAAUACCCGCUGAACUUAAGCAUAUCAAUAAGCGGAGGA